rnacentral:rRNA from 1 species
GACGAACGCUGGCGGCGUGCUUAACACAUGCAAGUCGAACGGAAAGGCCCUGCUUUUGUGGGGUGCUCGAGUGGCGAACGGGUGAGUAACACGUGAGUAACCUGCCCUUGACUUUGGGAUAACUUCAGGAAACUGGGGCUAAUACCGGAUAGGAGCUCCCGCUGCAUGGUGGGGGUUGGAAAGUUUCGGCGGUUGGGGAUGGACUCGCGGCUUAUCAGCUUGUUGGUGGGGUAGUGGCUUACCAAGGCUUUGACGGGUAGCCGGCCUGGGAGGGUGACCGGCAACAUAGGAACAGGGAACGGCCCAGACUCCUACGGGGGGCAGCAGUGGGGAAUAUUGCACAAUGGGCGGAAGCCUGAUGCAGCAACGCCGCGUGCGGGAUGACGGCCUGCGGGUUGUAAACCGCUUUCGCCUGUGACGAAGCGUGAGUGACGGUAAUGGGUAAAGAAGCACCGGCUAACUACGUG